GUUGGCGCAGGCGGUCUGGCGUGUGAGGAUACUGCCGCGGUGAGUGUUCUUUGUGGAUCCGGAGCUGGCAGGCCUUGGCUAGCUGCGGAUGUCUCCCCAUUGUCUCCGAAGCAUAGUGACUCACAGGUGUCUCUACAGCCUUGGUUCCCGAUGGCUCACGCCUUCUCUUAAGCAUCAAGGCCCAGCAACCUCCCUUGAAGUCUCUAUCGGCUAUAGUGCCCGUGGGACUCUUGGAAGCGGUACAGGUCACUCCCAGCGCCCUAUUUCUAGUGACGUUCCCGUUCUCUCGUCAAGGUGGGUCCGAGGUGCGGUGGGGGUCGGGGGUCGCUUUGCGUCCCAUACCAGAGACUGCUGGGCGAUCCUUGCCUGCGAGUCAACGUGCCUCCACACAGACGCCAUGUUAAGUGAUUUUUGAUGUACGUCACUAUUUCGUAUUCUUCAAUGACAACCCAGCAACCAUGAAGUUGAAGGAGACAAAAUCGAAGCCCAAGUCAGCAAGCCGUGGCACAUUUCAGAGGAAGGGCAUCAAGGUUGUGGGGAAAUGGAAGCAAGUGACGAUCGACCCAAAUCUGUUUGCAGAUGGACAGAUGGAUGACUUGGUGUGCUUUGAGG
rnacentral:lncRNA from 1 species